AAGAACUUUCCCUACUCUUGACAUCCAGAGACCUUCCCAGAGAUGGAUUGGUGCCUUCGGGAACUCUGAGACAGGUGCUGCAUGGCUGUCGUCAGCUCGUGUUGUGAUAUGUUGGGUUAAGUCCCGCAACGAGCGCAACCCUUAUCCUUUGUUGCCAGCGGUUCGGCCGGGAACUCAAAGGAGACUGCCAGUGAUAAACUGGAGGAAGGUGGGGAUGACGUCAAGUCAUCAUGGCCCUUACGAGUAGGGCUACACACGUGCUACAAUGGCGCAUACAAAGAGAAGCGACCUCGCGAGAGCAAGCGGACCUCAUAAAGUGCAUCGUAGUCCGGAUUGGAGUCUGCAACUCGACUCCAUGAAGUCGGAAUCGCUAGUAAUCGUAGAUCAGAAUGUCACGGUGAAUACG
rnacentral:rRNA from 1 species